rnacentral:rRNA from 1 species
AAUGAACGCUGGCGGCAUGCCUUACACAUGCAAGUCGAACGGCAGCAUGACCUCGCUUGCUAGGUUGAUGGCGAGUGGCGGACGGGUGAGUAAUGCAUCGGAACGUGCCUGUUAGUGGGGGAUAACUUAUGGAAAGUUACGCUAAUACCGCAUAUUCUCUGAGGAGGAAAGCGGGGGACCUUCGGGCCUUGCGCUAUAAGAGCUGCCGAUGUCGGAUUAGCUAGUUGGUGGGGUAAAGGCUCACCAAGGCAACGAUCCGUAGCGGGUCUGAGAGGAUGAUCAGCCACACUGGGACUGAGACACGGCCCAGACUCCUACGGGAGGCAGCAGUGGGGAAUUUUGGACAAUGGGCGCAAGCCUGAUCCAGCCAUGCCGCGUGAGUGAAGAAGGCCUUCGGGUUGUAAAGCUCUUUCGGCUGGGAAGAAAGCGCACACUCUAAUACAGGGUGUGGAUGACGGUACCAGCAUAAGAAGCACCGGCUAACUACGUG